UUUCUGGCCAUGCCCUUGUGUGAUCAGGAAACGGGCAGGGGCCUCCUGGACGCUCUGGCUCCAGCCUUAGUCUUAUGGAGACGUCGGGAGAAAAGCAGGGAGAAAGGGUCCCACCUCUGAGAUGUAUCGAGGCUGGGGGAUGGGAGCCUUGGAGGACAGAGGACGUCACUCACCUUAAUACGUGAUUCAGGGACUCAAACAGGCAGGUGAGAACGGACAUGAGCAUCAGCUGGGGGUGGGCAGAUACGGGAGGAGGAAAACGAGAGAGCUUGAGUUUAUGAAGGCUGAAAGGAAGCCUCAGAGCUUAGCUGUGUGGGCAGCGGUUCCUCUUCAGAGAGGACCGGGCAGGAGCCUGGCUGCAGCCUGACCAGAGGGGCCCCCUCCUCAUGUUUGAACUGGGAAGCACUGGAGUGCCCACCGUGGGGCCCUGAGUACAUCCUUCUCCGGUGAUGUUUGAGAAAGAAAUGGGGGCUCCCUGCAGAGGACUUCAUUUCUGGUACCCAAGGGAUCCAAGGGGCAUUAAGGCUAUGUAUUGUUCCAGAAAGAACCAUCCUGGCUGCUUUCUAUCCCCAAAAGCCAAAAGGAGGGGUACCCAGGGUGAGCCUCCCAGCUUCGGCCGCAGACUCCCCCAGCCAGCCUCCCACAGGCACCACAGUCACUCAAUCCAGACGACUGGGCAAUGGGAUUUUCCUCCGCCGAAUGGUAUCCAGUCUUCUUCAUCUCAACUUCAAUGUCAUCACCAAAAGAGCCUCUCUGACAACCACCAAAUCUAAUUCAACUGGUCUCGCUGUCACAUUCUCCAUGUAAGCACCCUGCACAUGUCUUUUGCUGUACUUAACCUAUAAAUAUCAUUUUUACUAA